rnacentral:lncRNA from 1 species
UGAAUUUCCUACAUGGGCUUCUAGUUAUCGUUAUAAAUAGGCAGUAGAUAAGGAAAAACCAACAGGGAGAUUCUUAGAGCCAAGAUCAUUAUGGCAAGGUAAAUUUAACUUCUUUCUCAAGAAAAUAAAUAAAAUUAUUUUUGUUCAACAUGCAAUUUCAAAUAUUAUUUAAUUUAAUUUCUUCUGCAGUUUGAUGAUGAAGUUGCUAUUAUUAUGCUUAAUUGUUGUUGCAUCAAUCUCACUUUCUCUUGGAGCUGAGGCUGAACAACUGACUUCAGAAGGGAGAAGCAAAGAGAAAAAUAUCCAUCCGAUCCUUCACAUGCCUGCAGAAAUUGAUAAUCUUCAAUCAACUGUUGAUGGAAAGUUUAGAAAAAUGGUAAGAAAAUUGAUAGACGUUGAGCUCCCUCCUUCUCGUCGUCCUGGUCCUGCUUUUGGUCCUCCUCCUAAUCUCCGUUGAAAUUUACCAGAUAAAAAAUUUCGGUCGCUUAGAACUAUUGCUGUUAUGUAAGAACAUGAAAAGGGAAGGAUUUUUUUUUUUUUUUUCUAUUUCUGUUUUCCCUUCAUUUGCUGUUUUAAUUUAGAGUCAUUGUUACCAUUUCCAAGAGUUGAUGUUGUUCAUUUAAAAUAUAUUAUAUGAUAAGG